AACGCUAGCUACAGGCUUAACACAUGCAAGUCGAGGGGUAGCGUGAGGGAAGCUUGCUUCCCUUGACGACGACCGGCGAAUGGGUGAGUCACGCGUGUCCAACCUGCCCCGUGCCCGGGGAUAGCCCUUGGAAAUGAGGAUUAAGACCCGAUAUGUGGCGCUUCCGCAUGGCGGCGCCAUGAAGCAGGCACGGGACGGGGACGCGUCGGAUUAGCUUGACGGCGGGGCAACGGCCCACCGUGGCGACGAUCCGCAGGGGUUCUGGGAGGAAGGUCCCCCACAUUGGAACUGAGACACGGUCCAAACUCCUACGGGAGGCAGCAGUGAGGAAUAUUGGUCAAUGGGCGAGAGCCUGAACCAGCCAAGUAGCGUGCAGGAUGACGGCCCUAUGGGUUGUAAACUGCUUUUAUGCGGGGAUAAAAUGUGGGACGUGUCCCUUAUUGCAGGUACCGCAUGAAUAAGGACCGGCUAAUUCCGUGCCAGCAGCCGCGGUAAUACGGAAGGUCCGGGCGUUAUCCGGAUUUAUUGGGUUUAAAGGGAGCGUAGGCCGUCUUUUAAGCGUGUUGUGAAAUGCCGCGGCUCAACCGUGGCACUGCAGCGCGAACUGGAGGACUUGAGUGCGCAGGAGGUAGGCGGAAUUCGUGGUGUAGCGGUGAAAUGCUUAGAUAUCACGAAGAACUCCGAUUG
rnacentral:rRNA from 1 species